CGCUGGCGGCGUGCCUAACACAUGCAAGUCGAACGGGGUCGGCCCCUUCGGGGACUGACUUAGUGGCGAACGGGUGAGUAACGCGUGAAGAACCUGCCUUUCAGUGGGGGGACAACAGUUGGAAACGACUGCUAAUACCGCAUAAUGUAUUCGGACGGCAUCGUCUGGAUACCAAAGCUUUAUGUGCUGAAAGAUGGCUUCGCGUCUGAUUAGCUAGAUGGCGGGGUAACGGCCCACCAUGGCGACGAUCAGUAGCCGGUCUGAGAGGAUGAACGGCCACAUUGGGACUGAGACACGGCCCAGACUCCUACGGGAGGCAGCAGUGGGGAAUAUUGCGCAAUGGGGGCAACCCUGACGCAGCAACGCCGCGUGAAGGAUGAAGGUCUUCGGAUUGUAAACUUCUGUUUUAAGGGACGAAAAUGACGGUACCUUAAGAGGAAGCCACGGCUAACUACGUG
rnacentral:rRNA from 1 species